rnacentral:rRNA from 1 species
GACGAACGCUGGCGGCGUGCUUAACACAUGCAAGUCGAACGAAGUGGCGAACGGGUGAGUAAUACGUGGGUAACCUGCCCUCCUUUUUGGUAUACGCCUUGGAAACGCGGUCUAAUACCGACUACAGGGGGCUGUGCUCGCGGCCUAUCAGCUUGUUGGUGGGGGGGUGGCCUACAACGGCGGUGACGGGUAGCCGGCCUGAGAGGGUGUCAGGACACAUUGGGAAUGAGAUCCGGCGAAGACUACUACGGGAGGCAGCAGUGGGGGAUAUUGCACAAUGGGCGAAAGCCUGAUGCAGCGACGCCGAGGGGGGGAGGAAGUCUUUCGGGUUGUAAACCUCUUGCGCUAGCGAACGGGUAGGUGGAGAAGAAGAGCAGGCUAAAUACGUGCCAGCAGCCGCGGUAAUAC